rnacentral:rRNA from 1 species
UACGUAGGGUGCGAGCGUUAAUCGGAAUUACUGGGCGUAAAGCGUGCGCAGGCGGUUGUGUAAGACAGAUGUGAAAUCCCCGGGCUCAACCUGGGAACUGCAUUUGUGACUGCACGGCUCGAGUGCGGCAGAGGGGGAUGGAAUUCCGCGUGUAGCAGUGAAAUGCGUAGAUAUGCGGAGGAACACCGAUUGCGAAGGCAAUCCCCUGGGCCUGCACUGACGCUCAUGCACGAAAGCGUGGGGAGCAAACAGG